rnacentral:hammerhead_ribozyme from 1 species
AUCUGGCUGAAGAGUCCCAAAUAUGACGAAAUGCGCAUCUUGGAA